UGGGUUGUAGUUUAGUGGCAGAGCACUCAUCUGGAAUGUGUGAGUCACUGGGUUCAAUACUCAGCACCACAU
rnacentral:tRNA from 1 species